AACGAACGCUGGCGGCAGGCUUAAUACAUGCAAGUCGAACGGGCGCAGCAAUGCGUCAGUGGCAGACGGGUGAGUAACACGUGGGAACCUUCCUCGUUGUACGGAACAACUCAGGGAAACUUGAGCUAAUACCGUAUAAGUCCGAGAGGAGAAAGAUUUAUCGCAAUGAGACGGGCCCGCGUCGGAUUAGGUAGUUGGUGAGGUAACGGCUCACCAAGCCAACGAUCCGUAGCUGAUCUGAGAGGAUGAUCAGCCACACUGGGACUGAGACACGGCCCAGACUCCUACGGGAGGCAGCAGUAGGGAAUCUUGGACAAUGGGCGCAAGCCUGAUCCAGCCAUGCCGCGUGAGUGAAGAAGGCC
rnacentral:rRNA from 1 species